GACGAACGCUGGCGGCGUGCUUAACACAUGCAAGUCGAACGAUUAAGAAAAGAAUCGAAGCUUCGGCAGAAAUUCAUUUCGGAUUAGUGGCAGACGGGUGAGUAACGCGUGAGCAACCUACCUCUUACAAAGGGAUAGCCUCGGGAAACCGGGAUUAAUACCAUAUCACAUUGUGACGAAGCAUUUCGAUGCAAUCAAAGCUACGGCGGUAAGAGAUGGGCUCGCGUCCCAUUAACCGGAUGGUGAGGUAACGGCUCACCAUAGUGACGAUGGGUAACCGGCCUGAGAGGGUGAACGGUCACACUGGAACUGAGACACGGUCCAGACUCCUACGGGAGGCAGCAGUGGGGAAUAUUGCACAAUGGAGGGAACUCUGAUGCAGCGACGCCGCGUGAGUGAUGAAGGAAUUCGUUUCGUAAAACUCUGUUCUAUGGGAAGAAAAGGACUGUACCAUAGGAGAAAGCUCCGGCUAAAUACGUG
rnacentral:rRNA from 1 species